GACAGAGGGUGCAAACGUUGUUCGGAUUUACUGGGCGUAAAGCGCGUGUAGGCGGCUUGGCAAGUCGGAUGUGAAAGCCCACGGCUCAACCGUGGAAGCGCAUCCGAAACUGCUUCGCUCGAGUCUCGGAGAGGAAGGUGGAAUGCUUGGUGUAGAGGUGAAAUUCGUAGAUAUCAUCAGGAACACCGGUGGCGAAAGCGGCUUACUGGGUCUCUUCUGACGCUGAGAAACGAAAGCUAGGGUAGCGAACGGG
rnacentral:rRNA from 1 species